GACGAACCGAGCGAACGUUGUUCGGAAUCACUGGGCUUAAAGGGCGCGUAGGCGGGUGCUCAAGUCCGGGGUGAAAUCCCACAGCUCAACUGUGGAAUUGCCUCGGAUACUGGGUGUCUCGAGGGAGGCAGGGGUGCGCGGAACUGAUGGUGGAGCGGUGAAAUGCGUUGAUAUCAUCAGGAACUCCGGUGGCGAAGGCGGCGCACUGGUCCUCUUCUGACGCUGAGGCGCGAAAGCCAGGGGAGGCAAAGCGGGAUUAAGAAACCCG
rnacentral:rRNA from 1 species